rnacentral:rRNA from 1 species
GACGAACGCUGGCGGCGUGCUUAACACAUGCAAGUCGAGCGGAAAGGCCCUGCUUUUGUGGGGUGCUCGAGUGGCGAACGGGUGAGUAACACGUGAGUAACCUGCCCUUGACUUUGGGAUAACUUCAGGAAACUGGGGCUAAUACCGGAUAGGAGCUCCUGCUGCAUGGUGGGGGUUGGAAAGUUUCGGCGGUUGGGGAUGGACUCGCGGCUUAUCAGCUUGUUGGUGGGGUAGUGGCUUACCAAGGCUUUGACGGGUAGCCGGCCUGAGAGGGUGACCAGCCACAUUGGGACUGAGAUACGGCCCAGACUCCUACGGGAGGCAGCAGUGGGGAAUAUUGCACAAUGGGCGGAAGCCUGAUGCAGCAACGCCGCGUGCGGGACGACGGCCUUCGGGUUGUAAACCGCUUUCGCCUGUGACGAAGCGUGAGUGACGGUAAUGGGUAAAGAAGCACCGGCUAACUACGUG